rnacentral:tRNA from 1 species
AGGAUUAUAUUUAAUUAUAAUUACUGAUCUGCAAUCAGUAGGUGCUGUCAAUCUAGCUAAUCUUA